rnacentral:rRNA from 1 species
GGACGAACGCUGGCGGCGUGCUUAACACAUGCAAGUCGAACGCUGAAGCUUGGUGCUUGCACUGGGUGGAUGAGUGGCGAACGGGUGAGUAAUACGUGAGUAACCUGCCCUUGACUCUGGGAUAAGCCUGGGAAACUGGGUCUAAUACUGGAUAYGACAUGUCACCGCAUGGUGGUGUGUGGAAAGGGUUYUACUGGUUUUGGAUGGGCUCACGGCCUAUCAGCUUGUUGGUGGGGUAAUGGCUCACCAAGGCGACGACGGGUAGCCGGCCUGAGAGGGUGACCGGCCACACUGGGACUGAGACACGGCCCAGACUCCUACGGGAGGCAGCAGUGGGGAAUAUUGCACAAUGGGCGRAAGCCUGAUGCAGCGACGCCGCGUGAGGGAUGACGGCCUUCGGGUUGUAAACCUCUUUCAGCACGGAAGAAGCGAAAGUGACGGUACGUGCAGAAGAAGCGCCGGCUAACUACGU